GACGAACGCUGGCGGCGUGCUUAACACAUGCAAGUCGAACGGAAAGGCCCUGCUUUUGUGGGGUGCUCGAGUGGCGAACGGGUGAGUAACACGUGAGUAACCUGCCCUUGACUUUGGGAUAACUUCAGGAAACUGGGGCUAAUACCGGAUAGGAGCUCCUGCUGCAUGGUGGGGGUUGGAAAGUUUCGGCGGUUGGGGAUGGACUCGCGGCUUAUCAGCUUGUUGGUGGGGUAGUGGCUUACCAAGGCUUCGACGGGUAGCCGGCCUGAGAGGGUGACCGGCCACAUUGGGACUGAGAUACGGCCCAGACUCCUACGGGAGGCAGCAGUGGGGAAUAUUGCACAAUGGGCGGAAGCGUGAUGCAGCAACGCCGCGUGCGGGAUGACGGCCUUCGGGUUGUAAACCGCUUUCGCCUGUGACGAAGCGUGAGUGACGGUAAUGGGUAAAGAAGCACCGGCUAACUACGUG
rnacentral:rRNA from 1 species